AACGAACGCUGGCGGCAUGCCUAACACAUGCAAGUCGAACGAGGCCCUUCGGGGUUUAGUGGCGCACGGGUGCGUAACGCGUGGGAAUCUGCCCUUUGGUUCGGAAUAACAGCUGGAAACGGCUGCUAAUACCGGAUGAUGACGAAAGUCCAAAGAUUUAUCGCCAGAGGAUGAGCCCGCGUUGGAUUAGGUAGUUGGUGGGGUAAAGGCCUACCAAGCCGACGAUCCAUAGCUGGUCUGAGAGGAUGAUCAGCCACACUGGGACUGAGACACGGCCCAGACUCCUACGGGAGGCAGCAGUGGGGAAUAUUGGACAAUGGGCGAAAGCCUGAUCCAGCAAUGCCGCGUGAGUGAUGAAGGCCCUAGGGUUGUAAAGCUCUUUUACCCGGGAAGAUAAUGACUGUACCGGGAGAAUAAGCCCCGGCUAACUCCGUGCCAGCAGCCGCAGUAAUAC
rnacentral:rRNA from 1 species